GCCAUCGGUGUCGUAGCUAACGCGNUAAGUCUACCGCCUGGGGACUACGGCCGCAAGGUUAAAACUCAAAGGAAUUGACGGGUCCCCGCACAAGCAGCGGAGCGUGUGGUUUAAUUCGAUGCUACACGAAGAACCUUACCUGGGUUUGACAUAGAGGUAGUAGGGAAGCGAAAGCGGACCGACCCUUCGGGGAGCCUCUACAGGUGUUGCAUGGCUGUCGUCAGCUCGUGUCGUGAGAUGUUCGGUUAAGUCCGCUAACGAGCGCAACCCUCGCUGUGUGUUACAAGUGUCACACGGUACUGCCGAUAUUAAGUCA
rnacentral:rRNA from 1 species